rnacentral:rRNA from 1 species
CCUACGGGCGGCAGCAGUGAGGAAUAUUGGUCAAUGGACGAGAGUCUGAACCAGCCAAGUAGCGUGAAGGAUGACUGCCCUAUGGGUUGUAAACUUCUUUUAUAUGGGAAUAAAAUGUUCCACGUGUGGGAUUUUGUAUGUACCAUAUGAAUAAGGAUCGGCUAACUCCGUGCCAGCAGCCGCGGUAAUACGGAGGAUCCGAGCGUUAUCCGGAUUUAUUGGGUUUAAAGGGAGCGUAGGUGGAUUGUUAAGUCAGUUGUGAAAGUUUGCGGCUCAACCGUAAAAUUGCAGUUGAAACUGGCAGUCUUGGGUACAGUAGAGGUGGGCGGAAUUCGUGGUGUAGCGGUGAAAUGCUUAGAUAUCACGAAGAACUCCGAUUGCGAAGGCAGUUCACUGGACUGCAACUGACACUGAGGCUCGAAAGUGUGGGUAUCAAACAGGAUUAGAUACCCGGGUAGUC